AACAGUGGGUCCUUGCGUUGGUCUCGCUUAUCUAAGGCCGAGGCCUGCAGCGACCACUGGCCUGCCACGUGGGGGUUCGGAGAGUGCUGGCUGUGUCUGCCAAUCCUGCUUUUCCAAGGGACGUGACAAAAUGUAACUGCAACUGAAAGAACAGCAUUUUCUGCUAAGGAGGAGCAAGGACCUGCUGCAGGUGCUGUCUCUGGGUAGCCUGGAAAGAUGACUCUAGUGGACAAAUGAAUGAGACUGUAG